GCCACACAGGAUCUGUGUGAAUUAAAUGAGAUAAUUUAUAUAGAGAUAAAAAAUAAUUUAUGUAUUGACCCAUACCAGGCUCAUAGAAGGCAUAUGAAUGUUAAUUAUUGAUCAGGAGCUUACUUAUAUCAUCUCACAUUUUCAACUGAACAAAGCAGAGUUUGUGCUGUCAUCGCUUUGCAGACGAGGAGAGGUUAAGGCAACUGCCAACAUCACAUGUCCUGUAAGUGCUAGAGCUGGGAUGUGAACCCAGGCCUCUGUGGGUCUGUUGGAGUCCAGUGCAUCUAAUUGGACUGCUAUCCAGCUCAUAUUUGUCCAUCCUAUUUCCAAGAACACCAGGAAAGGCUUUGUCAAAUGCCUUCCUGGACUUCCCAGGAUGGAGGGAGGAAGGUGAAAGAGUGGCCGCAGCUGCAGGGUGGGUUGGGCAUGACUGGUCUGGUGUGUGGGAGGGGCGGAGAGAUUGAGGCUGGCCCCGAAGCUUUCCGUAAUGAGCCUGCCACAUGGCUGGACAGAGACUUAUGACUUCUGGUGGCAGGACUGCCUCCUCCCGCUUGUCCUCCCUGGUUAUUUAUCACAUUUGUCCCUCUCGAGAGGCAGGGCCAUCGCUUACACUAUCCAGAACAGGGAAUGCAAUAAAGCCAGUUCUACGGAAGGCUCUGAGCCCUGCCCCCUUCACUGAGGGUGGGGAGGAGGCAGAGGGG
rnacentral:lncRNA from 1 species